rnacentral:rRNA from 1 species
CCCUUUGGGGUGUGACUGCGUACCUUUUGUAUAAUGGGUCAGCGACUUAUAUUCUGUAGCAAGGUUAACCGAAUAGGGGAGCCGGAGGGAAACCGAGUCUUAACCGGGCGUUAAGUUGCAGGGUAUAGACCCGAAACCCGGUGAUCUAGCCAUGGGCAGGUUGAAGGUUGGGUAACACUAACUGGAGGACCGAACCGACUAAUGUUGAAAAAUUAGCGGAUGACCUGUGGCUGGGGGUGAAAGGCCAAUCAAACCGGGAGAUAGCUGGUUCUCCCCGAAAGCU